rnacentral:rRNA from 1 species
CCUACGGGGGGCAGCAGUGAGGAAUAUUGGUCAAUGGACGCAAGUCUGAACCAGCCAUGCCGCGUGCAGGAAGACGGCUCUAUGAGUUGUAAACUGCUUUUGUACGAGGGUAAACGCAGAUACGCGUAUCUGUCUGAAAGUAUCGUACGAAUAAGGAUCGGCUAACUCCGUGCCAGCAGCCGCGGUAAUACGGAGGAUUCAAGCGUUAUCCGGAUUUAUUGGGUUUAAAGGGUGCGUAGGCGGUCGGAUAAGUUAGAGGUGAAAUCCCGAGGCUCAACUUCGGAAUUGCCUCUGAUACUGUUUGGCUAGAGAGUAGUUGCGGUAGGCGGAAUGUAUGGUGUAGCGGUGAAAUGCUUAGAGAUCACACAGAACACCGAUUGCGAAGGCAGCUUACCAAGCUUCUUCUGACGUUGAGGCACGAAAGCGUGGGGAGCAAACAGGAUUAGAUACCCGGGUAGUC